UUCGUGGUAAACUUCUUAGAGGGUCUGUUGGUAUCCAACCAAAGUCAGGAAGGCAAUAACAGGUCUGUGAUGCCCUUGGAUGUUCUGGGCCGCACGCGCGCUACACUGACGAUGUCAGAGAGUGUCUCCUUCACCGAGAGGUGUGGGUAAUCUCUUAAACAUCGUCGUGCUGGGGAUAGACCAUUGCAAUUUUUGAUCUUAAACGAGGAAUUCCUAG
rnacentral:rRNA from 1 species